rnacentral:rRNA from 1 species
GAUGAACGCUGGCGGCGUGCCUAACACAUGCAAGUCGAACGGAAAGACAAUGAGCUUGCGCCUUUGACGUUAGCGGCGGGCGGGUGUGUAACGCGUGUAUCAUCUACCUAUAUUUCUGGUAUAAUUCCGGGAAACCGGGUCCAAUGCCAGAUAACAUUCAGAACCGUGGGGUUCGAAAGAUAAUGUUGGCUUUGCUGUCUCGUAUAGCUGGUUCCGGGCCGUAUUAGCUAGUUGGUAAGGUCCCGGCUUACCAAGGCUACGAUACGUAACCGAGCUGAGAGGGUGAUCGGCCACACUGGAACUGAGACACGGUCCAGACUCCUACGGGAGGCAGCAGUAGGGAAUCUUCGGCAAUGGGCGAAAGCCUGACGGAGCAACGCCGCGUGAGUGAUGAAGGUCUUCGGAUCGUAAAGCUCUGUUAUUAGGGAAGAACAGAUGUGUAAGUAACUGUGCACGUCUUGACGGUACCUAAUCAGAAAGCCACGGCUAACUACGUG